rnacentral:misc_RNA from 1 species
UCCGGUUUGACACCGGCAGUCUCCCUAGAGUGCCCGGCUUUACCCGCUGGUAACUAGGGACGAGGGUUGCGCUCGUUGCGGGACUUAACCCAACAUCUCACGACACGAGCUGACGACAGCCACGCAGCACCUAUGCAGCAGUUCUUGCGAAAAGGGAUAUUUCUACCCCGGUCCACUGCAUUUCGAGCCCAGGUAAGGUUCUUCGCGUUGCGUCGAAUUGAACCACAUGCUCCACUGCUUGUGCGGGCCCCCGUCAAUUCCUUUGAGUUUCAAUCUUGCGAUCGUACUUCCCAGGUGGGAUACUUAAUGCUUUCGCUCAGACACCAACUGUGUAUCGCUGAUGUCGAGUAUCCAUCGUUUACGGCGUGGACUAC